rnacentral:rRNA from 1 species
CCUACGGGUGGCAGCAGUGGGGAAUAUUGGACAAUGGGCGAAAGCCUGAUCCAGCAAUGCCGCGUGUGUGAAGAAGGUCUUCGGAUUGUAAAGCACUUUCGACGGGGACGAUGAUGACGGUACCCGUAGAAGAAGCCCCGGCUAACUUCGUGCCAGCAGCCGCGGUAAUACGAAGGGGGCUAGCGUUGCUCGGAAUGACUGGGCGUAAAGGGCGCGUAGGCGGUUUAUGCAGUCAGAUGUGAAAUCCCCGGGCUUAACCUGGGAACUGCAUUUGAGACGCAUAGACUAGAGGUCGAGAGAGGGUUGUGGAAUUCCCAGUGUAGAGGUGAAAUUCGUAGAUAUUGGGAAGAACACCGGUGGCGAAGGCGGCAACCUGGCUCGAUACUGACACUGAGAGACGAAAGCUAGGGGAGCGAAUGGGAUUAGAUACCCGCGUAGUC